rnacentral:tRNA from 1 species
GGUGGUGAAGACAUGGGUUACUUCGACUGUUAAUCGGGAGGUCGCGGGUUCGAAUCCCGCCGCCGUCG